ACACGUCAUGUUUGAGCCGGUGUGCGGUGAAAUGCGGGGCCCGGGGUGAUUUAAACGUCAGCGGUGAAGUGAGAGUAGUUUUGGUUGAAUAUCAAGCAGGCUGGUGGGAAGACAUCUUGAGUUGAGCUGCUCGGGGAGGUGUCGGUGUGUCUGUGGUUGUUCACAGCAGCUGAAAUGACGAAGCGCUCCCAGCAGGUGGAGGUGUAGUGUUGGGUAUUGGUUGGUUAAAAAAGUGGCUCCAUUCAAAUUAAGUGUCUGCUGGUUGUUGGUUUUUUUUUUUGCGCAGCAGUGGAAAACAUGGGGGAAAAAAAAUAAGACUUCAGAUUAACUCAAUAAAUGUUGGCAACUAAUGAGGAGCAACACUGAAACCGGUGGCAAAAAGCAAAAACUCAUUAGACAUAAACAAUGGGACACACCUUCCUUUUUUCUCUACUCACCAGUCUGACUCCUUUGGAGUUCUUGCGGUGGGUCUUGAGGUAAUAACCAGCUACCAGCAGUGCAGCCAGCAACAGGCCGGUCAGCAGCAAGGACACCAGCACCAACUUGGAGUUGUUCCCCCAACGAGGAGCCGCCUCCAUCACAUCAGUCUGACAAAACAAACGAACCACUGACCGUAUCUGCUGAUGCUGCGGGGGAAGCUGGCCGACGAAGGGAUGUUGAAAGAGGACAUCUGUUUGGGCACCAAGGCCACCACGCAGCGCUCAGACACCUGGAAGACAAAGGGGUUCAAUGCGCUGGACUGUGGGGUCCUCUAUGUACUCGAAGGCCAGACUCCCAGGAACUUUUGCCCGAUCCACGCUCAAGCUGACCUGCACCGGUCCGGCUCUCGUCACCGACGGCGCAGAGAAGCACACAAUCUC